GGCAGCAUGGUCUUAGCUUGCUAAGACUGAUGGCGACCGGCGCACGGGUGAGUAACACGUAUCCAACCUGCCGUCUACUCUUGGACAGCCUUCUGAAAGGAAGAUUAAUACAAGAUGGCAUCAUGAGUCCGCAUGUUCACAUGAUUAAAGGUAUUCCGGUAGACGAUGGGGAUGCGUUCCAUUAGAUAGUAGGCGGGGUAACGGCCCACCUAGUCUUCGAUGGAUAGGGGUUCUGAGAGGAAGGUCCCCCACAUUGGAACUGAGACACGGUCCAAACUCCUACGGGAGGCAGCAGUGAGGAAUAUUGGUCAAUGGGCGAGAGCCUGAACCAGCCAAGUAGCGUGAAGGAUGACUGCCCUAUGGGUUGUAAACUUCUUUUAUAAAGGAAUAAAGUCGGGUAUGGAUACCCGUUUGCAUGUACUUUAUGAAUAAGGAUCGGCUAACUCCGUGCCAGCAGCCGCGGUAAUACGGAGGAUCCGAGCGUUAUCCGGAUUUAUUGGGUUUAAAGGGAGCGUAGAUGGAUGUUUAAGUCAGUUGUGAAAGUUUGCGGCUCAACCGUAAAAUUGCAGUUGAUACUGGAUAUCUUGAGUGCAGUUGAGGCAGGCGGAAUUCGUGGUGUAGCGGUGAAAUGCUUAGAUAUCACGAAGAACUCCGAUUGCGA
rnacentral:rRNA from 1 species